AGACCUGCUAAUCCAGGGGAUCUGAUGUGCUCUCUGCAAGGCCAGCAGAUGUGUCUCUCUCACUUAGGGAGAAAAUAACUGGUUGCUGCAGCAGCAAGAAAGCAACCAGCUCUGUGCAGCUACCUGGUCACUCCUUUUAUUUUAAAUAACCUCAUUUCUUUUAAAAAAUUGAUCAGAAUUGAGAUACAGCUUAUGAUAAUGGCUAUCUUUCCAUCAGGCUGUGUUCACUGUUGUUUUCCAGCUCCUCAACCUCUCUUUAUGUGCUGUGUGAGCCAGUUCCUCCUGCAGGAGAAGAGAGGGAUCUUUGAAGCACAGAGAGCAGAAAACAGAAGUGUAAGAACUGAGGCCCAGGUUCCAUGGCACCAACUCCCCAGAUUCUAAUAGUAAAAUAAAUAGAGAAAAAAUUAAACAGCUGUUGAGCUGAAUGAAGAAAUGGGAGGCUCCAGUUCCUCUCCUUUCCAUGGGCUAUGGACAGACAGACACUUGCAGUGCCUGGUGCCAGUCUCCUUGUCACCGAGCUCAACAGCCUGGGUUCUUGGGAUGGAAUUCACUCUGAGUGGAUUGGCUCUUCGCUUUCUAAUGCUGGAGGCAUCUCUGGGUUUGUCUUGGAGUUUCUUCAAAGCUCCAGGCACACCAUUGCUCAGGAGUGCCUGUUCUGGCACUGGGCACCAUGCCAGCAGUGGGAAUUCUGGAGAAGACCAGCACAAUUAAAGAUGAGCUCAGUGCCCCCCUUUGGCACAGCAGUUUUAAGAGAUAACUCAGAGAUGUCUUGUUGCUGCUCAUCAUCAAUUAAGAUGAAGUCAACUCCCCACUGCAGAAGACCACCAUUAAUCAACAUUUUAAGUGAAUGAGGUCUUGUCAUCUGCCCUCUGUCUUGCAAGUAAAACUCAUAAUUUUCAUAAAGUUCCAUGGAUCCCGUAAGAAGCAAAAGAAAUAUCCUCUGGUUUUUAUGCUCUGUGGUCCUGAGUCCUUGCACAAGAAAAGCUCCCACUGGCUUAGGGCAGACUUUUGUCUGGUUUCUGAAGCUACACUUCUCCGUGAGAUUCAUAAAGGAAACCUUCAAAGCCUGUAGGUACAUGCCCAGCUUGUGUGGGCCAGCGCUUUGGAGAACACACAUCACUUUUAUGCUCAGGAAAUCAAACCUGGGCACAGGGAAACGAU
rnacentral:lncRNA from 1 species